UUUUCAUUGGAUAAAAUUUAAAAUUUUUUUUUUGAAAAAAAAGAUUUUUUAUGUUAAAUUGAUAAAUAAAAAU
rnacentral:tRNA from 1 species